UUCAGAAGGAAUCAGCAAUUGCAACAUAUGUAUUAUAUAAACAAGUGUUUGCAUUUGAAGAUACUGCAUGCUCCACAUAACAUUCCACCUCUGCUCUUUAUAAUUGAAGGAAUUAUUUCCUGGAUUCCAAAUGCUUAUUAUGUAAUUAACAGUAUCGCCACUCUAGGCUGCAAUAGGCUGUCGCAGUUCUUAAGCCACUUACUCUGGAACAAUCCCAUUGACCUCAAUUACAUUAUUCUGGGCUUCAGGUUUUGAUAUUUGACCCAAGCAUUAUUUUUAAUAUUUUCUUGAUUAUUUACUGUGCUACCUGCAUUUGUUAGGAGAAACAUAUAUUAAUUUCAUUAUAUGGGACUAUAGAUUUUUAGCCACAUGCAAACUUAAAUACUGUAUAUAUAUAUUCUGGGAGUUUUCACACCUAGAGCAGCAAAACAUAAACUUUCCCAUUGAACCUUAUAUAAAUCUAGGGGCAGUAGGGAGGAAAUCAGUGCUGUUAUUAUCAUAGCAUAUAUUUCUUCAUACAGAGUCAACAUGAGAUCACUUGUCUGACAUUAUAGUGAAUGAAGUAAUUUGUUUUGAUGAGUUGUUCCUCUAUAUGACGUUAUUUGUGCAUACUAUAAAUGUUGAUGUUAUUUGUGCAUACUAUAAAUGUUAAAUUGUGGUAGAAGUAACAUGUUGUAGUGUAGACAACUGUGACAUGUUAUCUUUCCAGUCAUUAUUACCCAUAAAUAACUCAAGAGCAAAAGCACCGUUCGUUUUCUAACUUUGCCCCAAAUCCAGCAAAAAGCUUUUAUUUGUAUCCAACAGCCUGGGUCCAAGUGAUGCAAAAAUAUGCAUGGUGGUAGUUUGCGUUGGGCCACCACUGUGUGUGAGGUUAGGAAAACUUUUAUCAGGCAAAAUACAAAGAUAGUUGUACGGGGGCAGAGGGAGGAUAGGUGAUGACCCAGGUAGGUGACGUAUAAAGACCGGGGGGGGGGGGGCUUGGUCUAGUAUGGGGGAAGGGCAUUUGGCAGAAGGGUAGGCAGGGGUAACAAACAGAGUGAGCAGGGGCAGCAGCCCUCAGUGAAACUGAAAAGUGUAUAAAAUUAUCAUGAAGAUGCCCUAGCUGUAAAGCAUAUUAGUAUCAGCAUAUUUAUGCUACAAACCUAAACUGCUUUAAUAAUCAUUUCAUCACUCCAGCGGAAUUCUCAGACCCCUCAAUGAACCACAGCUCCCAGAAUUUGGGGUGCGUGUGAGAGAGGUGGGGGGAAGGAGCCAUGUAAGUUAAAAUAGUUGUUAAAGUGAUCUAAGGCUCUUCAGCCUACUCCCUCUUUUACCACACAGAAGAACUAUUAUGAUGAUAUCUGGGAUUAGGAUCACACACAUACAGAGGCGCAGCACUCACAACCAUUGCCCUAGUUACCUGUGCUGUGAUGUCAGUGUCAUGAUGCUGUGACUGUGAGGUGACGUCAUGUUUUGUGACAUUUGUUGGCACAGGAGUCGUCCAGCAUAAUUUGAAGCCCUUAAGUGUUGUCUUAGUAAGCUUUAAGUGUGGCUUGUAAAAGUGUUAUCACUGCAAGAACAAUUUAUUAUUAUUAUAAUACAUUGUAAAUCAGUGUUUAUCGGAAGGGAGCAGCCAUACUCAUGCAAAGCAUCUGGAGAACUUCUGAACCGCCUUUGAAUAGAGCCGAAAAUAACAAGGUAUAUAAUAUAUAUAGUACCUUAUCUUGCUGCAACAUUUUUGUCUAAGCACCAGUAUAACCCUUGAACUCAGCACAGCUCUGGGAAAGGAGCUUGUUAACUAGUUCUAUUCUCCAUCAAGCUCAAAAGGAAAGCAGACUUUCUGAUCAAAGGAUAAAUGCGCCUUCUGCUCUUGGAGUUGUCUUUGUUAGCUAAUUGCUUCUGUACUGGAGUGCUUGAGCUCUUGUAUCUAAGGUGCAAAUCAUUUGUCUUAUUAGAAGCAGCUAUUACUUCACGCGUUAAAAUGCGUUACUGUGCCAAACCCUCACAUAGCCUGGCAAGAAGACAGCUUAACCAAUUAAUCAGGGGUUCCACAAAAGUGCAUGAUGGUAAGGAGCCAGAUUUAGGGUGAUAAUGUUUGAAAAACAUGUCAUCAUAAACCAAUCUAACAGAAGAGCAAACUUUUAUUUCAGGCAAGCCAGCAAUACAGCCAGUGUUGGGGGGUGUUUGUUUAAGCAAGUGUAUGUUCCAAGAUUUAUGUUGUUUGGCAACUCUCUUACUUGUAGCAGCUACAUGAACUUCAAACAUCUACAUAGGAAAUAAAACAAAGACUGAAAAGCUCUAUAGUAGAUAAACAGCAUAAUGCAAGUUGAAAUUUAUAUUGAAAAAAAUGUAAUAAUUUUGGCUCACUAAGCUUGCUAGGCUACUUAAUUGUGACAACUUCAUCUUAAGUUACACUCAAAGCAGACUCUUAUUGGUUUGUUGUAAAUGUCUGAAUGCUGCGAACCAUGCUUCUUGGCUUAACUAGGCAUCAGAUUGUUUUGCAGUGCAAUGUGUAAGCAGUAGGCUGGGUUAAUAACUAUAGAAUUCAGCCUAGGUAUGAGAGCACAAUUCUUGCCUCUUUUUUUUAAGCAACUCUGUGCCCCUAUUUUGUUUUCCAGAUUCUCAGAAGAGAGCAUCCAUUGCCUUAAAAAGGCAAGCUACAAAUUCUUCCUUGAUAUGUUGCAGAGGAAUUACACCGAGAAUGAAUCAAACAGUAGAAUUAGGACUUAAGAAGAAUGUUGGUAUAAGCCGCUGUAUACUGUCAAAACAUUUGUCUAUCUCGAGCUCAGUAUUGCCUAAAUUGGAACAACUUCUGUGAGCCACUUCCUGUCUUAUUACGUUCAGACAUGGUGGUGGGACCCCUGCAGUGAUUCUAGCAAUAGGUAGAGCAAACUGAACUGAGUCUGGGUGUACAGUAGAGCAGUGAAUUCACCACCAGCUCCUGCUGGUUAGGGCAGAAGGUGUAGUGACAAUAACCCCCCCCCCCUUUAUUUUGUUCCAGGCUGAUGCAGCAGAAGGGCCCACAUUGGACCCUUCACCAGGAAAUGGACCACCAUUGACUUCAGUGGAUGCUGUUUCAACAGCCCUUACACUGACUGGCAGCCACACGAGGGAGCUUCCAUAGCAGCUUGGCUCCUCUGCAUCCUAACCCCUUACACUUAGCAUCAUGGAUCUGUGUGUGUGUGUGUGUGUGUGUUAGUAUUAUGGCUGUGGCUGUACCAGCACUUCAUUUUGUUUUACCUUUUUGUUAGUCUGCCCCUCCUUAAUGCUGUUUAUUUCAGUGCAUACUUUUUUAUUGUAAAUCACAUUGAGGCUAUUUUUAGAAGUAGUAGAUGUGUUAUAAAUAGCAGCACAGGAAUUGUCUCCAAGAGCCUCAUCCUGCUAUGCCAAGUGACCCUGCAAGUGACACUGGUGUGCAAAUGGUCCAUCCCGCUGCUGCUUGACGUAGUAAGCUGGGCACGUACUUGGACUGCUAAGCGCUGGGACUUCAUGGCAGCCUCCACAGUCACAUCCCCAUAGCUAUGCCCCUGCUAAGACUAUGAACUUUUGACCAAUACAAACAUUAUGGCUGCAAUAACAAGUCAUUUCUCCCAUACUCUCUCUCUUUCUUUCCUUUAACAUCCAGCCUAAGUCUCAAGAGUUUGCUCAAUAUUUUGGCCGUAAUUAAGAGAUUUGGAUUUUUUCCGAAAUAAAAGUGGCAUGCUAAUGUAACGUAGCUCUUCUUAUUAGGUUAUUUGUUGGAUUUAUGUCUAGAAGCGGAAGAAAAAAGCCUUAUAUAUUUGGCAUGCAACAUACUAGCACAUAGUUGGGCAAAAGAUUACUGCAAUGCAGGGGGUUGGACUAGAUGACACUUGUGGUCACUUUCAACUCUACAAUUCUGUGAUUCAGUGAUUCUAUGAUUCCUACAGUACAGGAUAUCGCAAUCUCUGUUGUGAAAUAAGUGGCAGUACUUCAUCUCUGCCCAUCACUACAUUAUUUCUUGCGAGAGGUUCUGCUGAUGGGCAGCUGCCAACCUACCAAGAGAUGCAAGUGUGAGUAAGCACUCAAGUUUCAAUUUAUAAGGUUCCAAGAGGGCAGGGCUUCUUGGGAUAUCAACCUGUACAUCAAGGGUGUUUACCAUGUACUGUAUUUCUUUUUGAAUUGUUCUUUGCCAUGUUCAAGGAUCUAUACACACAUUAUUUCAGUAAUUCCCACAACCAUGUAAAGCAGGUGUGGACAACUUUUUUCCCCUGCUGAGGAACAUUCUCUUUCUCCCCCCACCUCUCUCUCUCUCUCUCUCUCUCUCUCUCUCUGUGUGUGUGUGUGUAUGUGGAAUCUGCCAGAGGCCACAUGCUGACAGUGGGCGGAGCUGAAACUGAUGACAAAUGUGUUCUGGAUAACUAAUCUGGAAUAAAGACCAAUCAUUCUGAAACUACAUAAAAAUAAAGGGAGGCUUUUAAAAAGUCAGGAAAAGACUCAUAAAUGAAGUUAAGUGGAGUCACAUGUAGCCCCUAGAUCACAGGUUUCCCCUUUUAAGUUAAAGGGGUGGUGGUGGUCCCUGGUUGUCUUAAUAGUACAGUGGUACCUUGGGUUACAUACGCUUCAGGUUACAGACUCCGCUAACCCAGAAAUACUACCUCUGGUUAAGAACUUUGCUUCAGGAUGAGAACAGAAAUCGUGCAGCUAAAGUGGUGCUUCAGGUUAAGAACAGUUUCAGGUUAAGUACAGACCUCCGGAAUGAAUUAAGUACUUAACCUGAGGUACUACUGUACAGAGAUGGCACACACUGAGGCUGAAAACAGGAAUAUACCAAAGGCACAGCCCCCAUAUACCAUGGGAGUAGCCAGGAUUUUUGAAAUGGGGGCAGGCCUCUUGUUGGGGGGGGGGCGAACCUCACUUAGCUAUGUAUUUUUAUGGAUUUGGGGAGGGCAACUGCCCCUCUACCACCCCUUGGCUACGCCCAUGCCCCAUACAUGUCUAUUCAGAAAUAAAUCCCACUGAAUUCAAUAAGACUUGCUCCCAGGUAAAUAAAUGACUAUAUGAUUGCAGCCCUAGUGAGUUUGAUGCAGGGGGUGUGAGCCAAACUAGGGAAUUGCUGUUUCACAGAUCAUUUGCUCACCCACCUUGCUACGUCGCCCCCUCGGCAUCUGCAAAAAAAAAAAAAACACACCACAAAAACAAACACCUCCCCGUCAUGGCCCUCUCUUAGCCUAACCUACCUCAAAGGAAUAUAAAAGAUAAAAAGGAAAAUAGUAUAUAGAAGAGAUAAAUGGAAUCAAAACGGCACAUUGCUUUGAUUUCGCCCGCGCUCCUCUGGAUGGCAGGGAUUUUCUUCCCGUUGAUUGCACAACGCCUGCCAGGUUUAGGGCAAGGAAGAUGCCACUAAUCAUGAAUCACCCAAGUUCUGCACCUGCUGAACAUCUACUUGUUGCACAGCUGCGGAAAGUCUCGGCCGUCUUGCGCGAGUAAGGGACGAGCCGCCGCCGCCGCCGCCCGCCGCGCUGUCCCCG